rnacentral:tRNA from 2 species
GGUCCCGUGGUGUAGUGGUUAACAUGCGUGCCUGUCACGCAGGAGAUCGCCGGUUCGACCCCGGUCGGGACCGCCA